UCCCCAGUUUCGCAAUUGGUUAGCGCGCGGUACUUAUAAUGCCGAGGUUGUGAGUUCGAUCCUCACCUGGGGAA
rnacentral:tRNA from 1 species